AGCUCCGGUGGCCUAUUGGUUAGAGCGUCCGCCUCGAAUGCGGGAGGUCGUGAGUUCGAUCCCCGGUAGAGUCA